rnacentral:tRNA from 2 species
GGCGUGGUAGCUCAGUUGGUUAGAGCGCCUGAUUCAUACUCAGGAGGUCUGCAGUUCGAAUCUGCAUCACGCUA